rnacentral:rRNA from 1 species
CCUACGGGGGGCUGCAGCGGGGAAUAUUGGACAAUGGGGGGAACCCUGAUCCAGCCAUGCCGCGUGUGUGAAGAAGGCCCUCGGGUUGUAAAGCACUUUCAGUGAGGAAGAACGCCUGGUGGUUAAUACCCAUCAGGAAAGACAUCACUCACAGAAGAAGCACCGGCUAACUCCGUGCCAGCAGCCGCGGUAAUACGGAGGGUGCGAGCGUUAAUCGGAAUUACUGGGCGUAAAGCGCGCGUAGGUGGCUUGAUAAGCCGGUUGUGAAAGCCCCGGGCUCAACCUGGGAACGGCAUCCGGAACUGUCAAGCUAGAGUGCAGGAGAGGAAGGUAGAAUUCCCGGUGUAGCGGUGAAAUGCGUAGAGAUCGGGAGGAAUACCAGUGGCGAAGGCGGCCUUCUGGACUGACACUGACACUGAGGUGCGAAAGCGUGGGUAGCAAACAGGAUUAGAUACCCUGGUAGUC